rnacentral:rRNA from 1 species
GAUGAACGCUGGCGGCGUGCCUAAUACAUGCAAGUCGAGCGAACAGACGAGGAGCUUGCUCCUCUGACGUUAGCGGCGGACGGGUGAGUAACACGUGGAUAACCUACCUAUAAGACUGGGAUAACUUCGGGAAACCGGAGCUAAUACCGGAUAAUAUAUUGAACCGCAUGGUUCAAUAGUGAAAGACGGUUUUGCUGUCACUUAUAGAUGGAUCCGCGCCGCAUUAGCUAGUUGGUAAGGUAACGGCUUACCAAGGCAACGAUGCGUAGCCGACCUGAGAGGGAGGAGGGGAAGAAGGAGACACAGCAACGGGAUGGACGCAAGAGGGAGGGAGCAGUAGGGAGUAGUCAGGAAGGGGCGGAAGAAAGAAAAAGUAAUGAAGAGGGAGAGAAAAAGGGAUUAAGAAAGUAAGAACGUGUUAAGAGGGAAGAACAAGAAAGUAAGGAAAAAUGCAAGGCGAGACGAUAGAUAAAAAAACGGAAGAGGACGAAUAAAAG